rnacentral:rRNA from 1 species
AUAAUCAUGGAGUAUAAUAAUUAAAUUUAAUAAAUUUAAUAUAACUAUUAAUAGAAUUAGGUUACUAAUAAAUUAAUAACAAUUAAUUUUAAAACCUAAAGGUAAACCUUUAUAUUAAUAAUGUUUUUUUUUAUUAUUUUUAUAAUAAGAAUAAUUAUUAAUAAUAAUAAACUAAGUGAACUGAAACAUCUAAGUAACUUAAGGAUAAGAAAUCAACAGAGAUAUUAUGAGUAUUGGUGAGAGAAAAUAAUAAAGGUCUAAUAAGUAUUAUGUGAAAAAAAUGUAAGAAAAUAGGAUAACAAAUUCUAAGACUAAAUACUAUUAAUAAGUAUAGUAAGUACCGUAAGGGAAAGUAUGAAAAUGAUUAUUUUAUAAGCAAUCAUGAAUAUAUUAUAUUAUAUUAAUGAUGUACCUUUUGUAUAAUGGGUCAGCAAGUAAUUAAUAUUAGUAAAACAAUAAGUUAUAAAUAAAUAGAAUAAUAUAUAUAUAUAUAAAAAUAUAUUAAAAUAUUUAAUUAAUAUUAAUUGACCCGAAAGCAAACGAUCUAACUAUGAUAAGAUGGAUAAACGAUCGAACAGGUUGAUGUUGCAAUAUCAUCUGAUUAAUUGUGGUUAGUAGUGAAAGACAAAUCUGGUUUGCAGAUAGCUGGUUUUCUAUGAAAUAUAUGUAAGUAUAGCCUUUAUAAAUAAUAAUUAUUAUAUAAUAUUAUAUUAAUAUUAUAUAAAGAAUGGUACAGCAAUUAAUAUAUAUUAGGGAACUAUUAAAGUUUUAUUAAUAAUAUUAAAUCUCGAAAUAUUUAAUUAUAUAUAAUAAAGAGUCAGAUUAUGUGCGAUAAGGUAAAUAAUCUAAAGGGAAACAGCCCAGAUUAAGAUAUAAAGUUCCUAAUAAAUAAUAAGUGAAAUAAAUAUUAAAAUAUUAUAAUAUAAUCAGUUAAUGGGUUUGACAAUAACCAUUUUUUAAUGAACAUGUAACAAUGCACUGAUUUAUAAUAAAUAAAAAAAUAAUAUUUAAAAUCAAAUAUAUAUAUAUUUGUUAAUAGAUAAUAUACGGAUCUUAAUAAUAAGAAUUAUUUAAUUCCUAAUAUGGAAUAUUAUAUUUUUAUAAUAAAAAUAUAAAUACUGAAUAUCUAAAUAUUAUUAUUACUUUUUUUUUUAAUAAUAAUAAUAUGGUAAUAGAACAUUUAAUGAUAAUAUAUAUUAGUUAUUAAUUAAUAUAUGUAUUAAUUAAAUAGAGAAUGCUGACAUGAGUAACGAAAAAAAGGUAUAAACCUUUUCACCUAAAACAUAAGGUUUAACUAUAAAAGUACGGCCCCUAAUUAAAUUAAUAAGAAUAUAAAUAUAUUUAAGAUGGGAUAAUCUAUAUUAAUAAAAAUUUAUCUUAAAAUAUAUAUAUUAUUAAUAAUUAUAUUAAUAAUAUAUAUAAUUAUAUUAAUAUUAUAUAUUUUUUUUUAUAUAAUAUAAACUAAUAAAGAUCAGGAAAUAAUUAAUGUAUACCGUAAUGUAGACCGACUCAGGUAUGUAAGUAGAGAAUAUGAAGGUGAAUUAGAUAAUUAAAGGGAAGGAACUCGGCAAAGAUAGCUCAUAAGUUAGUCAAUAAAGAGUAAUAAGAACAAAGUUGUACAACUGUUUACUAAAAACACCGCACUUUGCAGAAACGAUAAGUUUAAGUAUAAGGUGUGAACUCUGCUCCAUGCUUAAUAUAUAAAUAAAAUUAUUUAACGAUAAUUUAAUUAAAUUUAGGUAAAUAGCAGCCUUAUUAUGAGGGUUAUAAUGUAGCGAAAUUCCUUGGCCUAUAAUUGAGGUCCCGCAUGAAUGACGUAAUGAUACAACAACUGUCUCCCCUUUAAGCUAAGUGAAAUUGAAAUCGUAGUGAAGAUGCUAUGUACCUUCAGCAAGACGGAAAGACCCUAUGCAGCUUUACUGUAAUUAGAUAGAUCGAAUUAUUGUUUAUUAUAUUCAGCAUAUUAAGUAAUCCUAUUAUUAGGUAAUCGUUUAGAUAUUAAUGAGAUACUUAUUAUAAUAUAAUGAUAAUUCUAAUCUUAUAAAUAAUUAUUAUUAUUAUUAUUAAUAAUAAUAAUAUGCUUUCAAGCAUAGUGAUAAAACAUAUUUAUAUGAUAAUCACUUUACUUAAUAGAUAUAAUUCUUAAGUAAUAUAUAAUAUAUAUUAUAUAUAUAUUAUAUAUAAUAUAAGAGACAAUCUCUAAUUGGUAGUUUUGAUGGGGCGUCAUUAUCAGCAAAAGUAUCUGAAUAAGUCCAUAAAUAAAUAUAUAAAAUUAUUGAAUAAAAAAAAUAAUAUAUAUUAUAUAUAUUAAUUAUAAAUUGAAAUAUGUUUAUAUAAAUUUAUAUUUAUUGAAUAUAUUUUAGUAAUAGAUAAAAAUAUGUACAGUAAAAUUGUAAGGAAAACAAUAAUAACUUUCUCCUCUCUCGGUGGGGGUUCACACCUAUUUUUAAUAGGUGUUCACCCCUCUUCGGGGUUCCGGUUCCCUUUCGGGUCCCGGAACUUAAAAAUAAUUAUGGAAAGAAUUAAAUUAAUAUAAUGGUAUAACUGUGCGAUAAUUGUAACACAAACGAGUGAAACAAGUACGUAAGUAUGGCAUAAUGAACAAAUAACACUGAUUGUAAAGGUUAUUGAUAACGAAUAAAAGUUACGCUAGGGAUAACAGGGUAAUAUAACGAAAGAGUAGAUAUUGUAAGUUAUGUUUGCCACCUCGAUGUCGACUCAACAUUUCCUCUUGGUUGUAAAAGCUAAGAAGGGUUUGACUGUUCGUCAAUUAAAAUGUUACGUGAGUUGGGUUAAAUACGAUGUGAAUCAGUAUGGUUCCUAUCUGCUGAAGGAAAUAUUAUCAAAUUAAAUCUCAUUAUUAGUACGCAAGGACCAUAAUGAAUCAACCCAUGGUGUAUCUAUUGAUAAUAAUAUAAUAUAUUUAAUAAAAAUAAUACUUUAUUAAUAUAUUAUCUAUAUUAGUUUAUAUUUUAAUUAUAUAUUAUCAUAGUAGAUAAGCUAAGUUGAUAAUAAAUAAAUAUUGAAUACAUAUUAAAUAUGAAGUUGUUUUAAUAAGAUAAUUAAUCUGAUAAUUUUAUACUAAAAUUAAUAAUUAUAGGUUUUAUAUAUUAUUUAUAAAUAAAUAUAUUAUAAUAAUAAUAAUUAUUAUUAUUAAUAAAAAAUAU